GGGAACAAGUUUCAUCAAAUAUCCCCAGAAAUACCAGACAGAGACCAGAACAGGGUCAACAUCUCUGUUAGUUUGUUACCCUCUGCCAAGCAGGUUCUGUUUUCAUGGCUGUGGGUUUAUCUGUCAUCUGUUUGUCCUUGCGUGUUAGCGAUGUGUAGGUGAUCACCCAAGUAUGAUCCCAUUAAUUUAGGUAAGAAUCUACCUACUCAUGACAUCACAAAAAAAUCUACAUUUUCCCCACAUAAUGGGCAAAACUGUAACUGUAAAAAAGAACUCGUUCAGCUUCAAGAUGUGAUGUGUUGUUUGUUCAUACUUAUAAGGCUUUGUUCACAUGUGUAUAUCUCAUAUUUGACAUCUAAACAAAUCAGGAAGAAUUUUGCCAUGCUUGUGUAAGAUUGUAACAGCUAUAAGCAGGUAAUGUUCUAUACAGAUCCAGACAGUCUUCUGGUGACACGGAAGUAUUCAAACCUUGGUAGAGGUCUACGCUCUCUCUGUGCUUUUGUUUUCUUUGUUAGUAUUUCAUCUCAGUUUCAGCUCUGCAGUGAGUCAUAAAGAACAUCAACUUGGGAUAUGAUAUUCAUAAAAUCCUCAAAACAUGGUGAUACUAGUGCAAUAAAUGUCAAUGUCAUUUUGUUCACAAGUUUGGACAUCCUGGGCUUUUCGGUCCUGUUUUUUUUUUCCUUCAAAAUGGCUGACAUACCAACAACCACAUUUUAUGGCCGCUGUCCAGUCAGACACCCUACUGGCCUUUGUCCUUGCCUCUCCUGGUCUGGUGCUGGAUUUUCGAGGUGUACCAAGGCAAGAACACAUUCAAGGACCAAAGACUGGGAGUUGGAGAUGCAACAAUUUUGCGAUUGGUUGAGUCUGUUCCCAUGGGAACUUGCGUAUUCUUUGAUUGAUAUUUCACAACAAUCAAUCUCAUGGAUGCUUUGCUUGCGAAGGGUCUUUCAGCAACCGGAACCAUUAUGAAGAAUUGAGUACCAAAGCCAUGCCAGCUACCAGAGGAUAAGCAGUUGCGAAAAGAGGGGAGAGAAGCAUCAGUGACGAUGGUCCGGAGGGGGCCUGAGCUGGCAGUCAAUGGUUUGAGUAUGGGAAAGACCCAGAAGAUAACUGCAGCAGAUGGUCCAACAAAGAAAAAGCUUAUGUCUGGGUGAGACGACUGGGAGUGAUCAGAGAAUACAAUGACAACAUGGGUGGACCGAAUGCUUUUUUCGCAUGCCAACCAGGACCAAGAAAUGGACAUCACGUGUGAGCCAUCAUUUUUUUGAUGCUGCCAUCACAAACACUUGGAGCCGAUACAAGUCUGGCAGGAAAGAGCUCAAUCGACCCGCUAAGAACACCCAGCAAUACCUAGUAUUCAAACGGCACCUGGCUGAAGAGCUGUUGGAUAGUCAGCAAAUAUGUAGAGACUGUCCUCCAAUAAAACGUACAUAUAGGUCGCAUGCAGGAAUUACAACUUAUGUUUACGUUUUCAAAACAUGCGCCCCUAGCGGUUGUAUACAUAACAGCAACCACUUCCGCCUUAGACGCCGUAUCUAAUGGCUUCGCCGAUGUCGGCACCGGCAGUCGGCUCAGUGGCGAGAGCGCUGCGCCGGAGCACGGUCGACUAACUAUACCACUUUUUUAAUAUUUUUUUUAUUUUUACUACCUAACCCUGUCUUUUUGCCCUAACCCUACCCUCAGUAACAUCUAUGCAUAUUCGAGUUGGAAAAUACUACCUUUACGUCGCAUUCAGGGGUUAGAAAAAAACGACCCACAGACACGUUUUCAGAAAACGACCUAUAUGUACGUUUUCAGGGGUUGAAAAAACGACCUAUAUGUACGUUUCAGUUGGAGGACAGAUUGAAUAUGUUCUAUGUUAGUCCGUCAUUUCACUGUUUAACUACAAUCAUCCUGUUGUCCACUACACUGGACAUGCUGGGAAAUUAAAAUUAAAAAUAUGUUGAAAAACC